AGGAGAAGUCGUAACAAGGUUUCCGUAGGUGAACCUGCGGAAGGAUCAUUGUCGAAUCCUGCGAGACCCGCGAACCCGUUCCUAACUCCGGGCGUCAGGCCGGGAUGCCCCCGCGCCUCGUCGUCCGCCCCGCCUUCCGGUGCCCCAGGGCGCCGGUCGCGCGGACGCAACCCGAAACCCGGCGCGGGAAGCGCCAAGGAAAACUGAAAGCUGACGGCCUUCCCCUGUCCCUGCCGUGCGCGGUGCGGGCCGGGGGAGCGAAGGCGCCUGUCGAAUCUGAACGACUCUCGGCAACGGAUAUCUAGGCUCUCGCAUCGAUGAAGAACGUAGCAAACUGCGAUACUUGGUGUGAAUUGCAGAAUCCCGUGAACCAUCGAGUCUUUGAACGCAAGUUGCGCCCGAAGCCGUUAGGCGGAGGGCACGUCUGCCUGGGCGUCACGCGCAGCGUCGCCCCCUCCAAGGCCUUGCCCGAAACGGGACGAGCGCCUCGGCGUGGGGGCGGAGAGUGGCCUCCCGUGCAUGCCCGCGGCCGGCCCAAAUGCGAGUCCCUCGCCGCAGACGCCUCGACGAGUGGUGGUUGGAGUCCUCAACUCGAUCUCGAGUCGAGCGACGCCCGCGGCCGACGAGACCCGAUCAGACCCUAUGGCGGGCGCGCCCCUCCCGGGGAGUGCCCUCCACGACCGCGACCCCAGGUCAGGCGGGAUUACCCGCUGAGUUUA
rnacentral:rRNA from 1 species